CAAUAGCCGGAUCUGGUGGAGGUUGCCUAAAGGAAGGUUUUCUUCGAAGGACCCCCGUGCCCAGGUUGGGGACAAACAACGGAGACAGAUCAUCUGGUGUGUAUCAUCCUUGUUUUUGUCAUCCUGGUUGAAGGCCAGCAAAUCUUCCAGAGCUGGGAUAACUGAAGCCUUCUGGUUUGGAAGCAUGAAGAACAAAGACUGUGCUUCAAUCUCCUUGGAAGGGACAGGAUGACACCAGAUCCUUCUCAUUACCUAAAUGGCAGCCAAAUUUCAGGGACUUCAACCUCACAUAUACAUCUCAGUUGGAGAAGGCUCCCCCUGACGUCUGGUCUGUUACAAACACCAGAGACCUCCAAAUCUAAUUGACUAAGGAGAGAAAUAACUGACAUAAAGAUAGACUGCUUCCUCCCAAGACACCAGAUCAAGACUCCCUACUUUAACUAAACAUGAAACCCUUUCUUCUUCCCUUUCUUUCUUACUUUGACAUUGGCCUGGAAAGAUAAUGCCAUCAUUCACAUCUCCCACAUCAUUGCUAAGGGGCGUCACUUUUCAAACUUACAGAUUUGUCAUCAACAAUUCUGAUCUGUCCAUUAACAGUGCCACCUAAGGAGUGGUUUGUGCACCAACAAGAUUUAUCUUUGUCUGUGGUGGUUAUUAUUCUCCUUGGGCCUACGAAUGCUUAGAUAGCCGGUGCAUAACCAGUCAAUACCUCUUAGGGUAUCUAAUUGUGCUCCUCACUAUCCACAAACAGAGAUACCUCAUUGCUCAAUGCACCUAAAUUUACCUUGUUGGGUUAGAAAGUUACUAACAGGAGGCAUUUAUGAUUCAGGAUUCACUUCCCAUUGGCAAAGCACUACUAAAUAUAAGUGUAAAUGAAGCUAUGAUCAGGAACCUCUCCUUAACUCUUGAAAGUAUUACAGAAUUCACUGCUAAGGCAGUACUUGCUUCAGAAAAAUUCUUAAACUCUGGCUACGGUUGAUCUUAAUUAUCUAGAGUAGUCCUUGAUUAUCUUUUAGCUGAGCAAGAAGUUGUGCUGUGGCCAACACUACCUGCUACACCUGGAUUAACAUAUCUGGGGAAGUUGAAACUCAAUUAUAUAAAACCACUGAGCAAACCACUUGCCUUUAAAAAGUGGCUCUGUGCCCCGACUGGUGUAGCUCAGUGGGUGGGGUAUUGUUCCACAAACUGAAAGGUUGCCAGUUCAAUUCCUGGUCAGGGCACAUGCCUGGGUUGUGGGCCAGGCCCCCAGUGGGGGUUAUG